AGUUUGAUCCUGGCUCAGAUUGAACGCUGGCGGCAUGCUUUACACAUGCAAGUCGAGCGGCAGCGCGGGGGCAACCCUGGCGGCGAGCGGCGAACGGGUGAGUAAUGCAUCGGAACGUACCCUGGAGUGGGGGAUAACGCCGCGAAAGCGGCGCUAAUACCGCAUAUGCUCUGAGGAGGAAAGUGGGGACCGCAAGGCCUCACGCUCUGGGAGCGGCCGAUGUCCGAUUAGCUAGUUGGUGGGGUAAAGGCUUACCAAGGCGACGAUCGGUAGCUGGUCUGAGAGAAUGAUCAGCCACACUGGGACUGAGACACGGCCCAGACUCCUACGGGAGGCAGCAGUGGGGAAUUUUGGACAAUGGGGCAACCCUGAUCCAGCCAUGCCGCGUGAGUGAAGAAGGCCUUCGGGUUGUAAAGCUCCUUUUGGUCCGGAGAAGCGCCUUGCCUAAUACGCGAGGUGGUUGACGGUACCGGCAGAAUAAGCACCGGCUAACUACGUG
rnacentral:rRNA from 1 species